CUUUUUCAUUCCACUUUUUUUUUUAGACUAAAAAAUGCUAAAAAUUAAAAUAUUUUAUUACUCAUGAACCACUUCUCUCUGUCUCUCCCAUCUGAUUGGCUUCCUCUGUGAAUGGUGGCCAGGUCGGCGCCGUUUCAUUCUUUCCCGGCAGCGAGAAUCCUCUCUGUUUCCUAGAAACGGAGGUGUUUGCCAUUCAACAGAAUUUCGAUUCACUGAUUAAGACAAUAAAAAACGGGUCGCUUAGAUCUUGAAAUUCCCCUGCCAUGUUCGUCCACCUACUAAAAAGAGAUGCAAUUUCGAGGCGGAGCAAGAGGAGGACAGGUGAUUUGGUUUGGGUUUUGCUACAAGUUAAUCAAUUUUUCGGAGAUCUGGAUAUCGUCUGUGCAGUCAACGUGCUGCCAGCUUAAUUCGUGUUGCAGUUAUAUCGUAAGUGAGCAAAAUUUAUUUCUACGGCCAGUGAUUCACGAGGCAACGCCAUGAGAGGUUACGGUUUAGUUGUUUAUCUCCUUGGCUUACUUCAGGUAUGCUCUGGGCAAUUUACUGGGAUAGUUGGAGCAUGUAGAAGGAACUAUGGAUAAUAAGAAGCUUCAUCCAUCUGUUAGUUACCAGGUAUCAUUCAAUCCCCAAGUUGUUCGGCAAUCAAGAGAUGAUACUUUUGGCAAUUAUCUAGCUUUGUACAUAAAGUCCCCAAGGACUACCAUCCAAAGAAUUGAUAAGGAAAUCUAGUAGAUUUGGCGAAGUAGACUCAUGUAGAAUCACAUCUAAAUGAGAGUGGGUCUGCCUGGUGACAGCAGCUUGAUGCAGCGGCUGCUUAUCAGUGUGCAAAGAGGAAGAGAAGGGAAGUUUGGUGAAGCAAAUAUCUUGUUUUGGCGUGAACUAUAUGAAAAAAAGAGAAGACAAUCGAAGUUUGUUGUCCCCAGGUGAAACCUAAAAUCCUACCUCAAAAUCUGAUUUGCAUGGUCAAGAGGGAAGAAGUGCACCAAAAGGGUGAGGUUUUUAAUGGCAACUUAGAUUAGUCACUGCACAGGUAAUUAGGUUUCUGUUAUAUGUCUGCAGAAAAUUGUGCUUUGACUAUGGACUGAACUCGUUCAUGGAGUCCAAUUUAGUUAUGGAUAUAGUAUCACGUGUUACUAUAUCUACUGGAAGUUUUAUGAUCAACUGAAGUUGUAGAUGUAGCUUUUGAAACUCUGUUGUGUGUUCUGGCCUAGACCUGCCUAAUUGCUGGUUUUGGUCCGGUGCCAGGUUGCAACUGCUAGAUAAUUGUAUAGAAUAUUAAUGCCGUACGCUGUUGAGUUGCCUGAUGCUGAGGAUGAAAAACUCAAGGUUGGACCUUAAGAAAAAUUCAGCUUUUCUGCUAUGAAAGAUGGUGUUCCUUGAGUUUGACACAUGAUAAAAGGUGGGAAUUAAUUGGCUUCAUUAACUACAAGCCCAUUCCUCAUGUAAUUUUAACAGAUGGAGGUUUUUAGGAUUUUGAUGACAUGGAUUUCUUAGCAAGUACGUAGCUCUAAUAGUAGUAAAUUCUCCUCGGCUAUUAAUUCACCUUUCUUUUCGUCUGAAACAUUGCCUGUGGUUGCUUCUUACGUAUGCUUUUGGCACUGGAAUCAGCUGAAAUAUUGGGCCUCUUUCUCUUUACUAAUCAGCACCACCCUGUUUAGGUGCCCCCCACAAUCAUUUUUUCUGUAAACUCUUCCAUAUUUUAGGUCUUUAACCUUGUUGCUUACUUCUGAUAAAAUUAACAUUUCUAGUCUUUUGAGAUUCAGACACUUUAUUCAAUUUUGCAAUACAUGAGAUCUAUUUGUAUAGAGAUAUUA